rnacentral:rRNA from 1 species
AUUGAACGCUGGCGGCAGGCCUAACACAUGCAAGUCGAACGGUAACAGGAAGCAGCUUGCUGCUUCGCUGACGAGUGGCGGACGGGUGAGUAAUGUCUGGGAAACUGCCUGAUGGAGGGGGAUAACUACUGGAAACGGUAGCUAAUACCGCAUAACGUCGCAAGACCAAAGAGGGGGACCUUAGGGCCUCUUGCCAUCGGAUGUGCCCAGAUGGGAUUAGCUAGUAGGUGGGGUAACGGCUCACCUAGGCGACGAUCCCUAGCUGGUCUGAGAGGAUGACCAGCCACACUGGAACUGAGACACGGUCCAGACUCCUACGGGAGGCAGCAGUGGGGAAUAUUGCACAAUGGGCGCAAGCCUGAUGCAGCCAUGCCGCGUAUAUGAAGAAGGCCUUCGGGUUGUAAAGUACUUUCAGCGGGGAGGAAGGGAGUAAAGUUAAUACCUUUGCUCAUUGACGUUACCCGCAGAAGAAGCGCCGGCUAACUCCGUG